rnacentral:lncRNA from 1 species
GUUCAGCCCGUUCGAUGCGGGUCGGGUCCGGUCUACGACCGGACCCGAUUUCGGCCUAGUCGGCGGCAACGGGCCCGAGUGGGCCCAAAAUUCUUUUUUUUUUUAAUAGUUUAGUCAAGGCCCAAAGAAAAUUAAAAGACCCACAUAUUUCCUAAGCCCGCAAGAGCCCAGCCCAAUUUACCUGAAUCUGAAGCCCGGCCCGGAGACAAACCCAAGCCUGACCCACUUCGAAGACCAAACCCUACCCGGUUUGGAGGGUUGCUUGACCCGGUUCUGACCCGAUUUGAGCCUCCUUCUCCAAGGCUUCUUGGCGGCACUGACACCGGGCAGCGAUGGCGGCGACGGCGACGGCGCAGCGGGUGGCGGCGGCACGAGCAGCAACGGCGCGGUGCUGGUGCCGCGACGGGAUCGAAGGAGCGGCGUCAGCGGCAGUGGGUAGCGGCGGCGUCGCGGCUUCGGGCAGAGGAGCGGCUCGGACGGCGUCGUAGGGGCGGCCAGAGGGCGGCAGGAGGAGGCUCUUGCAGAGGGUCGCGGAAGCUCGGGCUGCAGGCGAGUCGAGGCGCAGCGGUGGUGGCGCGGCGGCAGAUGAUGCGGCGAAGGGGAAAGACUCCCAGAUCUGAUCGAGCGUGAUCAGAUCUGGGCCUUUGGCGGAUCUCCAGCGCGACGGGGCGGACUGGUGCUAGCUGCAGGAGCGGCCGAGACCGGCGGAGGGCGCGGAAACAGCGACAGCGGGGCGGAGCUUCAGACGGUUGCAGGGCGGCAGCGGCGCGGCGACCGGUUCAGAUCUGCUAGCGUCGGGGGGCGCUAGCGCGGCGUCAAGUGGGCAGAGGCAGGGACGCUGGAGGUGAGCUACUGCAGGAGUCGCUGAGAGGUGCUGCAGCGGCAGGUAGCGGAGCGGCGAGCACUGGACGGAGGUGGCGCGAGGUCGACGGGCGACGCUCGGGCGGAGAGGGCGUCGGGUGCCUGGUGGAGGUGGCGCGAGCGUCGGGUCGUCGCAGCUGCAGCGGGGGUCACGGACGCGCGGGCUGCAGGCGAGUCGGGGCGCGGCGGUGGUGGCGCUGUGCUCGCGGACGAGCGGCUCCGCCGCGCGGCGGCCGACGCAGCGAAGGCUUCCCGCGGCCGCGGGGCGGAGCCGCUGAGGCUCCUUCCUUCCUCUCUGUUUUUU